rnacentral:tRNA from 1 species
GGCUCGUUGGUCUAGGGGUAUGAUUCGCGCUUCGGGUGCGCGAGGUCCCGGGUUCAAUUCCCGGACGAGCCC